UACGUAGGGUGCGAGCGUUGUCCGGAAUUACUGGGCGUAAAGAGCUCGUAGGUGGUUUGUCGCGUUGUCCGUGAAAACUCACAACUCAAUUGUGGGCGUGCGGGCGAUACGGGCAGACUGGAGUACUGCAGGGGGAGACUGGAAUUCCUGGUGUAGCGGUGGAAUGCGCAGAUAUCAGGAGGAACACCGGUGGCGAAGGCGGGUCUCUGGGCAGCAUAAUCUGACGCUGAGGAGCGAAAGCGUGGGGGAGCGAACAGG
rnacentral:rRNA from 1 species